UGUAACUUUCCAUUAUAAGAAGUCAUCUUGUCUAUACACAAACCUCAACAGGCAUCUCAUACACAUUAUAUUUUUCUGGUUCUUUGCCUUAAUUUAGUCUCUGCGCCUCUUUGGAUUUAUCGAAGGUACAAAUAUAAAGGAUGCAGAUAUUUGUCAAAUCACUCACAGGCCAGACCAUGACACUAGAUGUGGAAACCUUUGACACCAUUGAUAGUGUGAAAGACAAAAUCUAUGAAAAAACAGGGAUAAAAGCAGAACAUCAGAGGCUAAUAUUUGGUGGCAAGCAACUGGAAAAUGGUACUGUGAAAGAUUAUGACAUCAAAAAAGAGUCCACUCUUCAUCUUGUUCUUCGCUUGCUUGGUGCAGCUACAUCUUGAAUUUUCUUACACUAUGAUUUUAAAGCUUUUAAGUUAACUCAGAAAUGAGCAGAUGAAUAAGUUACUUGGAUAUAUGUAUGCUUCAUCAUUGUGUUUACUACUACUUGUCUUCAAAUAGUGGUGUGUUAAACAAGCGAUAUGCUUCAGGAGAUGUAAGGGAUAAUUUAAUGCUAUAUAGUAUUUUUCUUUCAA